rnacentral:rRNA from 1 species
CCUGGCGGCCAUGGCGGCGGGGACCCACCCGUUCCCAUUCCGAACACGGCCGUUAAGCCCGCCAGCGCCGACAAUACUCGAGGGGCAGCCCUCCGGGAAGAUAGGACGCCGCCAGGA